AACGAACGCUGGCGGCAGGCUUAACACAUGCAAGUCGAACGCACCUUUCGGGGUGAGUGGCAGACGGGUGAGUAACGCGUGGGAAUCUACCCUUCUCUACGGGAUAGCUCCGGGAAACUGGAAUUAAUACCGUAUACGUCCUGAGGGAGAAAGAUUUAUCGGGGAAGGAUGGGCCCGCGUUGGAUUAGCUAGUUGGUGGGGUAAAGGCCUACCAAGGCGACGAUCCAUAGCUGGUCUAAGAGGAUGAUCAGCCACAUUGGGACUGAGACACGGCCCAAACUCCUACGGGAGGCAGCAGUGGGGAAUAUUGGACAAUGGGCGCAAGCCUGAUCCAGCCAUGCCGCGUGAGUGAUGAAGGCCCUAGGGUUGUAAAGCUCUUUCAGUGGGGACGAUAAUGACGGUACCCACAGAAGAAGCCCCGGCUAACUUCGUG
rnacentral:rRNA from 1 species